CUACUAGGGUAUCUAAUCCUGUUCGCUCCCCACGCUUUCGUGCCUCAGCGUCAGUACCAGCCUAGUCAGCUGCCUACGCAAUCGGGGUUCUGGAAGAUAUCUAUGCAUUUCACCGCUACAUCUUCCAUUCCGCCAACCUCGUCUGGACUCAAGCCCGCCAGUAUCCAGGGCAGUUCUCUUGUUGAGCAAGAGGCUUUCACCCCGGACUUAACGGGCCGCCUACGCACCCUUUAAACCCAAUAAAUCCGGACAACGCUUGCACCCUCCGUAUUACCGCGGCUGCUGGCAC
rnacentral:rRNA from 1 species